rnacentral:rRNA from 1 species
UUGAACGCUGGCGGCAGGCCUAACACAUGCAAGUCGAGCGGUAGCACAGAGAGCUUGCUCUCGGGUGACGAGCGGCGGACGGGUGAGUAAUGUCUGGGAAACUGCCUGAUGGAGGGGGAUAACUACUGGAAACGGUAGCUAAUACCGCAUAACGUCGCAAGACCAAAGUGGGGGACCUUCGGGCCUCAUGCCAUCAGAUGUGCCCAGAUGGGAUUAGCUAGUAGGUGGGGUAACGGCUCACCUAGGCGACGAUCCCUAGCUGGUCUGAGAGGAUGACCAGCCACACUGGAACUGAGACACGGUCCAGACUCCUACGGGAGGCAGCAGUGGGGAAUAUUGCACAAUGGGCGCAAGCCUGAUGCAGCCAUGCCGCGUGUGUGAAGAAGGCCUUCGGGUUGUAAAGCACUUUCAGCGGGGAGGAAGGCGAUAAGGUUAAUAACCUUGUCGAUUGACGUUACCCGCAGAAGAAGCACCGGCUAACUCCGUGCCAGCAGCCGCGGUAAUACGGAGGGUGCAAGCGUUAAUCGGAAUUACUGGGCGUAAAGCGCACGCAGGCGGUCUGUCAAGUCGGAUGUGAAAUCCCCGGGCUCAACCUGGGAACUGCAUUCGAAACUGGCAGGCUAGAGUCUUGUAGAGGGGGGUAGAAUUCCAGGUGUAGCGGUGAAAUGCGUAGAGAUCUGGAGGAAUACCGGUGGCGAAGGCGGCCCCCUGGACAAAGACUGACGCUCAGGUGCGAAAGCGUGGGGAGCAAACAGGAUUAGAUACCCUGGUAGUCCACGCCGUAAACGAUGUCGAUUUGGAGGUUGUGCCCUUGAGGCGUGGCUUCCGGAGCUAACGCGUUAAAUCGACCGCCUGGGGAGUACGGCCGCAAGGUUAAAACUCAAAUGAAUUGACGGGGGCCCGCACAAGCGGUGGAGCAUGUGGUUUAAUUCGAUGCAACGCGAAGAACCUUACCUGGUCUUGACAUCCACAGAACUUUCCAGAGAUGGAUUGGUGCCUUCGGGAACUGUGAGACAGGUGCUGCAUGGCUGUCGUCAGCUCGUGUUGUGAAAUGUUGGGUUAAGUCCCGCAACGAGCGCAACCCUUAUCCUUUGUUGCCAGCGGUUAGGCCGGGAACUCAAAGGAGACUGCCAGUGAUAAACUGGAGGAAGGUGGGGAUGACGUCAAGUCAUCAUGGCCCUUACGACCAGGGCUACACACGUGCUACAAUGGUAUAUACAAAGAGAAGCGACCUCGCGAGAGCAAGCGGACCUCAUAAAGUAUGUCGUAGUCCGGAUUGGAGUCUGCAACUCGACUCCAUGAAGUCGGAAUCGCUAGUAAUCGUAGAUCAGAAUGCUACGGUGAAUACGUUCCCGGGCCUUGUACACACCGCCCGUCACACCAUGGGAGUGGGUUGCAAAAGAAGUAGGUAGCUUAACCUUCGGGAGGGCGCUUACCACUUUGUGAUUCAUGACUGGGGUG